GGAGUCGCCUGCCCGGCGGCCGCAGACAGCGGGCCCGGGGACCCGCCCCCACGGCUCCGCCCCCACGCCUCCCAUUGCGCCGCCUGCCCGUCACUCAACGCCAAGCUCUGUUGUGAUUGGUCGGUUUUCUACGAGUGGCUCGGCGAGAGCCGCCCAUUCUCCAUCCCUGUCACCCGGCCACGCGCGCACCCACUCCCGGCCGCGAUUGGCGGGGGUCUGAUUGGUGCACCCGGGGAUCAGUCACCCACGCCUCCCUCCCCGUCAUUGGCGAAGGGGCCAGAGGGUGGCCGCCCCGCGCGCCCUUUGAUCUUAUUGGUUGGUCUGUGGGGGCUCAGGCCGAGGUGGGGUGCGCCCCUAUAUUAGUCCCAUCUCCGGUUUGGGGCGUGCUGGCCACAGCUGGAAUCCCGGGAGAACCUUCUGGAACCCGUGCAAUGCCAAAGAGACAGAGUUUGCACACCCAUGAGGUCGUGCAAACUGGAUAGAGCUGGAAACUGAGGCUUAUAGAGCAUCAGUACCUAGGCUACAGAGCAGAGCAGCCUAGGGGUACUGCACAGUCUCCACCCCCUGUCUUCUUUCUGUGCUCACUUUGUGUAUUUGCCUCCUCCAGCCUUGCCUGUGCCAACACGGAGGCAGAAAAUGUCGCCACCCGCCUUUCACCUGGUCCUUGUGAAUGCUGACUUGUAGGCUGAGCACUCUGAGGGUUCAGGGCGGUACUUCCUGGUGUUGUCUGCUGGGUUCUCUAUCGCUGCCCUCUGUCUCAUUGCCCCCGGUAUGUCCAGCGUGUUGUGUGAGGGAUCAGGGUGAGGCCUAGGGCAGGAAAAUGGAAGCUCUGGAGACUGAUGGUCGACCUCAUGGAGUUACUUGCUACAUCUGUGCCUCAUUUCCUUCUUUGUAAAAUGGGGAUGAACAACAGCAGUACCUUAGAGGAUUAUUGUGAGGGUUAAUUAAGGUAACACAUGAUGCACCUU